rnacentral:rRNA from 1 species
AACGAACGCUGGCGGCAGGUCUUAGGCAUGCAAGUCGAACGGGUGUAGUAAUACACCAGUGGCGAACGAGUGAGUAACGCGUGGGAAUCUGCCCAUCUCUGGGGAAUAACGUUUGGAAACGAACGCUAAUACCGCAUACGCCCGCAAGGGGAAAGAUUUAUCGGAGAUGGAUGAGCCCGCGUUGGAUUAGUUAGUUGGUGGGGUAACGGCCUACCAAGGCGAUGAUCCAUAGCUUGUCUGAGAGGACGAUCAGCCACGCUGGAACUGAGAUACGGUCCAGGCUCAUACGGGAGGCAGCAGCUAAGAAUAUUGGGCAAUGGAGGAAACUUUGACCCAGCCAUGCCGCGUGAAUGAAGAAGGCCUUCGGGUUGUAAAGUUCUUUUAGUCGUGACGAUGAUGACGGUAGCGACAGAAAAAGCACCGGCUAACUUCGUGCCAGCCGCCGCCGUAA